GUUUCUUUUAUUUGAGUUUAUUUGCACAUCGCUACAACACUGUAUAUACACAUAAUAUCACAUUUGAAAUCUCUUUAUUCUUUUGGAACUUGUGUGAGUGUAAUAUUUACUGUUCACUUUUUAUUGUUUAUUUCACUUGCUUCGGCAGUGUAAACAUGUGUUUCUCAUGCCAAUAAAGCCCCUUAGAGAGAGAGAGAGAGAGAGAAAGAGAUGUAUGUAGAGUGUAAUCUAAUCCUGUCAGUGCAUCUAGUGCAUUUUAGGGACAGCAUCUGUUUGGGAAUUAAGGCUUUCAGUCUCACACAGUGUUACAUUGUGAUUCAGAUGCACUGUGUACUGUAUGCUGCUAUUCUACCAUCCCCUGUCACAUGUCAGUUACACUGUGUCCUGUAUGCUGCUAUUAUACCAUCCCCUGUCACAUGUCAAUUACACUGUGUCCUGUAUGCUGCUAUUAUACCAUCCCCUGUCACAUGUCAAUUACACUGUGUCCUGUAUGCUGCUAUUAUACCAUCCCCUGUCACAUGUCAAUUACACUGUGUCCUGUAUGCUGCUAUUCUACCAUCCCUUGUCACAUGUCAAUUACACUGUGUCCUGUAUGCUGCUAUUCUACCAUCCCCUGUCACAUGUCAGAUACACUGUGUCCUGUAUGUUCCACUCUCUCUUUCUCUCUUUUUGUUGAACACCUCUUAAAUGGAGUAAGAGCGGAUUAUUUGAGGAAGGAGAGGAGUGAGGACGGGGGAUGAGGAAGAGAUGGAGGGGUGAGGAUGAGGAGGAGAUGGAGGCGUGAGGACGGCUGAUGAGGAGGAGAUGGAGGGGUGAGGACGGGGAUGAGGAGGAGAUGGAGGGGUGAGGCCGGGGGAUGAGGACGGGGGAUGAGGAGGAGAUGGAGGGGUGAGGAUGAGGAGGAGAUGGAGGCGUGAGGACGGCUGAUGAGGAGGAGAUGGAGGGGUGAGGACGGGGAUGAGGAGGAGAUGGAGGGGUGAGGACGGGGAUGAGGAGGAGAUGGAGGCGUGAGGACGGCUGAUGAGGAGGAGAUGGAGGGGUGAGGACAGGGAUGAGGAGGAGAUGGAGGGGUGAGGACGGGGAUGAGGAGGAGAUGGAGGUGUGAGGACGGGGGAGGAGAUGGAGGGGUGAGGACGGGGGAGGAGAUGGAGGGGUGAGGAUGGGGGAUGAGGAGGAGAUGGAGGUGUGAGGAUGGGGGGGAUGAGGAGGAGAUGGAGGUGUGAGGAGUGAGGACGGGGGAUGAGGAGGAGUGAGGAUGGGGAGGAUGAGGAGGAGAUGGAGGUGAGAGGAGUGAGGACGGGGAGAGAGGAGAUGGAGGGGUGAGGAUGGGGGAGGAGAUGGAGGGGUGAGGAUGGG
rnacentral:lncRNA from 1 species